UACGUAGGGGGCAAGCGUUAUCCGGAUUUACUGGGUGUAAAGGGAGCGUAGGUGGCAUGGCAAGUCAGAAGUGAAAACCCGCGGCUCAACUGCGGGACUGCUUUUGAAACUGUCAGGCUAGAGUGCAGGAGGGGUGAGUGGAAUUCCUAGUGUAGCGGUGAAAUGCGUAGAUAUUAGGAAGAACACCGGUGGCGAAGGCGGCUCACUGGACUGUAACUGACACUGAGGCUCGAAAGCGUGGGGAG
rnacentral:rRNA from 1 species